AAGAAAGAAAGAAAGAAAGAAAGAAAAACACUGAGCAAGCCAAGAGAGCAGCUUGUAAGCAGUGGCCCUCCAUGGCCCCUGCUGCAGUUCCUGCCCCGAGUUCCCGCAGUGACGACUGUGAAGCCUAACAGGAAACAUCCUUUCUUCCCAAGCUGCUUUCGGUUGUCACUACAAAGAAAAGCAGACUACAUUUAUUGAAGCAAGUUGUAAAAGGUAGAAAGCCUCUUCGGGAUCCUGAAUAACUGGGUCCCCGCUGGCGGGGACAAGUGGCGCCCGAACAGGGACCCCAAAGCAAGGCUGACUACAGGACGACGGAGAUAAGAGAGCUGCAGCGGGAAUCGAGGACUCUUCAGGCCGUAUCGCUCGUAUCGCUCGUGCGUCGCUGAAGAAGGAGAGCAAUGAAGCUCUACUGGAUUCUACUGAAACUUCUCUUUCCAACUGUGCUGACAUCCGGAACAUCAAGCCCCUAUCAGAUUUGGAAUUACACCUGGAAAUUCUGUUUCAGUACAUUAUCAUCGCUUGGAGACCGG
rnacentral:sRNA from 1 species